UAUUUCUCAACCUUUCUAAGCUUUUUCAUUUAAAGCUUAGUUAGGCUUGGAUUCUGGGAGUUUGCUGGCUCCUCGCAGAGUUAGCUCUCCUUAAAUAUAUUAGCAAGAUCAUCGCUAGAUCAUGUAUGAUAUGAUAAUUAUCUAUAUCAUUGAUGAUACUAGGCAUUUCUUUCACGGAAAAUGAUCAAGCUUUAUAAUCGUCUUAAGACAAAUACAAAUAUAUAUAUAUUUGACUCU
rnacentral:misc_RNA from 1 species